rnacentral:rRNA from 1 species
UACAGAGGGUGCAAGCGUUAAUCGGAAUUACUGGGCGUAAAGCGUGCGUAGUCGGUUAUCUAAGUCAGGUGUGAAAUCCCCGGGCUCAACCUGGGAAUUGCAUUUGUGACUGGCAGGCUAGAGUAUGGCAGAGGGGGGUAGAAUUCCACGUGUAGCAGUGAAAUGCGUAGAGAUGUGGAGGAAUACCGAUGGCGAAGGCAGCCCCCUGGGCCAAUACUGACGCUCAUGCACGAAAGCGUGGGGAGCAAACAGG